UGAAAUGCGGUAGAUAUCUAGAGGAAUUCCUGUGCGAAAAGCGACCUCCUGGACAAAAAACUGACGCUGAUGGUGCGAAAGCGUGGGAAGCAAACAGGGAUUAGAUACCCCUGGUAGUCCAUGCUGUAAACGAUGUCGACUUGAAGGUUGUUUCCUUGAGAAGUGGCUUCCGAAGCUAACGCAUUAAGUCGACCGCCUGGGGAGUACGGCCGCAAGGCUAAAACUCAAAUGAAUUGACGGGGGCCCGCACAAGCGGUGGAGCAUGUGGUUUAAUUCGAUGCAACGCGAAGAACCUUACCUGGUCUUGACAUCCAUAAAAUUUUUUAGAGAUAAAAAAGUGCCUUUACCGGAAUUAUGAGACAGGUGCUGCAUGGCUGUCGUCAGCUCGUGCUGUGAAAUGUUGGGUUAAGUCCCGCAACGAGCGCAACCCUUGUUCUCUGUUGCCAUCAGGUUAUGCUGGGAACUCAGAGGAGACUGCCGGUUAUAAGCUGGAGGAAGGUGGGGACGACGUCAAGUCAUCAUGGCCCUUACGACCAGGGCUACACACGUGCUACAAUGGCAUAUACAAAGAGAAGCAAAUCUGCGAAGACAAGCAAAACUCAUAAAGUAUGUCUUAGUUCGGACUGGAGUCUGCAACUCGACUCCACGAAGUCGGAAUCGCUAGUAAUCGUGGAUCAGAAUGCCACGGUGAAUACGUUCCCGGGCCUUGUGCACACACCGCCCGUC
rnacentral:rRNA from 1 species